UGCAAGUUCGAGCGGUAGAGAGAAGCUUGCUUCUCUUGAGAGCGGCGGACGGGUGAGUAAUGCCUAGGAAUCUGCCUGGUAGUGGGGGAUAACGUUCGGAAACGGACGCUAAUACCGCAUACGUCCUACGGGAGAAAGCAGGGGACCUUCGGGCCUUGCGCUAUCAGAUGAGCCUAGGUCGGAUUAGCUAGUUGGUGAGGUAAUGGCUCACCAAGGCGACGAUCCGUAACUGGUCUGAGAGGAUGAUCAGUCACACUGGAACUGAGACACGGUCCAGACUCCUACGGGAGGCAGCAGUGGGGAAUAUUGGACAAUGGGCGAAAGCCUGAUCCAGCCAUGCCGCGUGUGUGAAGAAGGUCUUCGGAUUGUAAAGCACUUUAAGUUGGGAGGAAGGGUUGUAGAUUAAUACUCUGCAAUUUUGACGUUACCGACAGAAUAAGCACCGGCUAACUCUGUGCCAGCAGCCGCGGUAAUACAGAGGGUGCAAGCGUUAAUCGGAAUUACUGGGCGUAAAGCGCGCGUAGGUGGUUUGUUAAGUUGGAUGUGAAAUCCCCGGGCUCAACCUGGGAACUGCAUUCAAAACUGACUGACUAGAGUAUGGUAGAGGGUGGGGUGGGAAUUUCCUGUGUA
rnacentral:rRNA from 1 species